GACGAACGCUGGCGGCGUGCUUAACACACGCAGGUCGAACGGAAAGGCCCUGCUUUUGUGGGGUGCUCGAGUGGCGAACGGGUGAGUAACACGUGAGUAACCUGCCCUUGACUUUGGGAUAACUUCAGGAAACUGGGGCUAAUACCGGAUAGGAGCUCCUGCUGCAUGGUGGGGGUUGGAAAGUUUCGGCGGUUGGGGAUGGACUCGCGGCUUAUCAGCUUGUUGGUGGGGUAGUGGCUUACCAAGGCUUUGACGGGUAGCCGGCCUGAGAGGGUGACCGGCCACAUUGGGACUGAGAUACGGCCCAGACUCCUACGGGAGGCAGCAGUGGGGAAUAUUGCACAAUGGGCGGAAGCCUGAUGCAGCAACGCCGCGUGCGGGAUGACGGCCUUCGGGUUGUAAACCGCUUUCGCCUGUGACGAAGCGUGAGUGACGGUAAUGGGUAAAGAAGCACCGGCUAACUACGUG
rnacentral:rRNA from 1 species